GACGAACGCUGGCGGCGUGCUUAACACAUGCAAGUCGAACGAUGAAGCCGGAGCUUGCUCUGGUGAAUUAGUGGCGAACGGGUGAGUAACACGUGAGUAACCUGCCCUUGACUCUGGGAUAACUGCGGGAAACUGUAGCUAAUACCGGAUACGACCCUCGGAGGCAUCUCCUGGGGGUGGAAAGAAUUUCGGUCAAGGAUGGACUCGCGGCCUAUCAGCUAGUUGGUGAGGUAAAGGCUCACCAAGGCGACGACGGGUAGCCGGGCUGAGAGGGUGGCCGGCCACACUGGGACGGAGACACGGCCCAGACUCCUACGGGAGGCAGCAGUGGGGAAUAUUGCACAAUGGGCGCAAGCCUGAUGCAGCAACGCCGCGUGAGGGAUGACGGCCUUCGGGUUGUAAACCUCUUUUAGCAGGGAAGAAGCGAAAGUGACGGUACCUGCAGAAAAAGCACCGGCUAACUACGUGCCAGCAGCCGCCGUAA
rnacentral:rRNA from 1 species